CGCGUAGGCGGCCAUCUUUGUCAGGCGUGAAAGCCCUGGGCUCAACCCAGGAAUUGCGCUUGGGACGGGAUGGCUUGAGUUCGGGAGAGGAGAGUGGAAUUCCCAGUGUAGAGGUGAAAUUCGUAGAUAUUGGGAAGAACACCGGUGGCGAAGGCGGCUCUCUGGACCGAUACUGACGCUGAGGCGCGAAAGCGUGGGGAGCAAACAGGAUUAGAUACCCUGGUAGUCCACGCUGUAAACGAUGUGUGCUAGACGUUGGGAAGCCUAGCUUCUCGGUGUCGCAGCUAACGCGGUAAGCACACCGCCUGGGGAGUACGGCCGCAAGGUUAAA
rnacentral:rRNA from 1 species